rnacentral:rRNA from 1 species
UACGUAGGGUGCAAGCGUUGUCCGGAAUUAUUGGGCGUAAAGAGCUCGUAGGCGGUCUGUUGCGUCGGCUGUGAAAACCCGGGGCUCAACCCCGGGCCUGCAGCCGAUACGGGCAGACUAGAGUUCGGCAGGGGAGACUGGAAUUCCUGGUGUAGCGGUGAAAUGCGCAGAUAUCAGGGAGAACAGCCGGUGGCGGAAGGCGGGUCUCUGGGCCGAGUACAUGACGUGGAGGAGCGAAAGCGUC